AAUCCUCAAAAGAAAAGCUUGACUGCUUUCUCUUUUGGAAUUGGAGCGUGCUGGCCUUCUGUUAAUGAAGCCCAGCUCCUCUGAAAUACAUUAGCGAUGUGACAUCCGCAUGGCACCACGCUUGUCUGGCAUUGAUAAGUAUCUUCAUGCCUGAGUGUGUUGUGCAGCUGUGGAAAGUUUCGCUCGCUCAUAGCUUGAUGGGGUCAGCCCAUCCUUUGACCA
rnacentral:misc_RNA from 1 species